rnacentral:rRNA from 1 species
AGUAAAAGUCGUAACAAGGUUUCCGUAGGUGAACCUGCGGAAGGAUCAUUAAUGAAAUGACUAUGGCGUUGGUUGUAGCUGGCUCUUAGGAGCAUGUGCACGCCCGUCAUUCUUAUCUUUCCACCUGUGCACCUAAUGUAGGUCUGGAUAACUCUCGCUCACACCGAGCGGAUGCAGAGAUUGCUGUGUCGAAAGAUCAGCUCUCUUUGAAUUUCCAGGUCUAUGUACAUUUACAAACUCCAAUUGUAUGAUAACGAAUGUAGUCAAUGGGCUUUCAAGCCUAUAAAACAAAAUACAACUUUCAGCAACGGAUCUCUUGGCUCUCGCAUCGAUGAAGAACGCAGCGAAAUGCGAUAAGUAAUGUGAAUUGCAGAAUUCAGUGAAUCAUCGAAUCUUUGAACGCACCUUGCGCUCCUUGGUAUUCCGAGGAGCAUGCCUGUUUGAGUGUCAUUAAAUUCUCAACUUCACCAGUUUUGUUAUGAGACUGUGUGAAGCUUGGAUGUGGGGGUUUGUGCAGAGCGCGUAAAAGUAACCUGCUCCCCUUAAAUGAAUUAGCGAGUUCAAACUGGGCUCCGUCUAUUGGUGUGAUAAUUAUCUACGCCGUGGAUUGGGCUUAGACUUGCUUCUAAUCGUCCGCAAGGACAAUCUUUUGACAAUUUGACCUCAAAUCAGGUAGGACUACCCGCUGAACUUAAGCAUAUCAAUAAGCGGAGGA